rnacentral:rRNA from 1 species
CCUACGGGAGGCUGCAGUGGGGAAUAUUGGACAAUGGGGCGAACCCUGAUCCAGCCAUGCCGCGUGUGUGAAGAAGGCCCUCGGGUUGUAAAGCACUUUCAGUGAGGAAGAACGCCUGGUGGUUAAUACCCAUCAGGAAAGACAUCACUCACAGAAGAAGCACCGGCUAACUCCGUGCCAGCAGCCGCGGUAAUACGGAGGGUGCGAGCGUUAAUCGGAAUUACUGGGCGUAAAGCGCGCGUAGGUGGCUUGAUAAGCCGGUUGUGAAAGCCCCGGGCUCAACCUGGGAACGGCAUCCGGAACUGUCAAGCUAGAGUGCAGGAGAGGAAGGUAGAAUUCCCGGUGUAGCGGUGAAAUGCGUAGAGAUCGGGAGGAAUACCAGUGGCGAAGGCGGCCUUCUGGACUGACACUGACACUGAGGUGCGAAAGCGUGGGUAGCAAACAGGAUUAGAUACCCUAGUAGUC